rnacentral:rRNA from 1 species
GUAAACCCAAGGUUUCCAGGGGAAGGUUCGUCCGCCCUGGGUUAGUCGGGACCUAAGCUGAGGCCGAAAGGCGCACGUGAUGGACAACACGUUGAUAUUCCUGUACUACCGAUAACCGUUUGCGAGAGGGGCCGACACAGUAGGAUCAGCUAAGCACCCUGAAGGUUAUGUGUGCUCAAGCCUUGAGGCAGUCAAAGUAGGCAAAUCCGCUUUGAUAAUGCUGGGCUGUGAUGGGGAGCGAAAUUUAGUAGCGAAGUAGCUGAUUUCACACUGUCAAGAAAAGUCUCUAUCGAGGUUAAAGGUACCCGUACCGCAAACCGACACAGGUGGGUGAGGAGAGUAUCCUAAGGCCAGCGAGAGAACU